UGUGUAGCGGUAUCUUUGGUUGGGUAGAACUACCUCUGACAAACACCAUCGCAACUGCAGUAUAUCAUGUUAUUAUUGUACCCAUGAUGUCCUGUUGUUGAGAUGGUGUCUGUUGAAGGUUGUUCCACCCAACAGAAGAUGUGACACAUAU